UUUUUUCUUAUUUUACUAUUAGUACAAGUAUCGUAAAUUUUCGUUAUAGUAAAAAGCAUCUUAAGAAAUAGAAAUGAAAUAUUUUAUCAAACAAAAUUUAAACGUUUUCAAAUGUAAGAUGCUCGAUGUUUUGAGUUUAAAAAAAAUUCUCGCUUCCGGUGUGAACGUAGUUCCAGAAACAUAAGAAAGUGUGCAUUUUCAUUUAUUUUCUGUCGUCAUUUUUGGCCACGGUUUCGUGUAUGCGUUCAAUGAUAUUUAAUUUAUUUCGCGUUCGAUUGUAGUAGCGUGAAUCGAGUUCUUUCGUGAAAUUCUACCAUAUAACACAGAGAAAGAAUUCGCGAGGCGCUUCGUCAUACAGAGGAAGGUUGGUUACCCCGGCUAGUCGCGUGUUUCGCUGGUGCCAGCUUCUACGAAAGAUCAACAAUUCAUCCCAUCUGUGAACUCUCGUCCAGUGGGGCGCUACCAUUUUAUAUGACUUUAGCAAGAUAUAAAGAGGCAUCAGUACAGAGCGCGGAGAGCGG